UACGUAGGGUGCAAGCGUUGUCCGGAAUUAUUGGGCGUAAAGAGCUCGUAGGCGGUCUGUCGCGUCUGCUGUGAAAACUCAGGGCUUAACCCUGAGCUUGCAGUGGGUACGGGCAGACUAGAGUGCGGUAGGGGAGACUGGAAUUCCUGGUGUAGCGGUGAAAUGCGCAGAUAUCAGGAGGAACACCGGUGGGCGAAAGGCGGGGUCUCUGGGCCGGUAACUGA
rnacentral:rRNA from 1 species